rnacentral:rRNA from 1 species
GUGAGGAAUUUUCCGCAAUGGGCGAAAGCCUGACGGAGCAAUGCCGCGUGAAGGAUGAAGGCCUAUGGGUUGUAAACUUCUUUUCUUAGAGAAGAAUAUUGACGGUAUCUGAGGAAUAAGCACCGGCUAACUCCGUGCCAGCAGCCGCGGUAAUACGGAGGGUGCAAGCGUUAUCCGGAUUCACUGGGUUUAAAGGGUGCGUAGGCGGAUAAAUAAGUCAGUGGUGAAAUCAACGGGCUCAACCUGUUAACUGCCAUUGAUACUGUGUAUCUUGAAUAUGAGAGAGGUAGGCGGAAUGUUGCAUGUAGCGGUGAAAUGCUUAGAUAUGCUACGGAACACCGAUUGCGAAGGCAGCUUACUAUUUCGUAAUUGACGCUGAGGCACGAAAGCGUGGGUAGCGAACAGGAUUAGAAACCCUGGUAGUCC